rnacentral:rRNA from 1 species
GGUUAAGCGACUAAGCGUACACGGUGGAUGCCCUGGCAGUCAGAGGCGAUGAAGGACGUGCUAAUCUGCGAUAAGCGUCGGUAAGGUGAUAUGAACCGUUAUAACCGGCGAUUUCCGAAUGGGGAAACCCAGUGUGUUUCGACACACUAUCAUUAACUGAAUCCAUAGGUUAAUGAGGCGAACCGGGGGAACUGAAACAUCUAAGUACCCCGAGGAAAAGAAAUCAACCGAGAUUCCCCCAGUAGCGGCGAGCGAACGGGGAGCAGCCCAGAGCCUGAAUCAGUGUGUGUGUUAGUGGAAGCGUCUGGAAAGGCGCGCGAUACAGGGUGACAGCCCCGUACACAAAAAUGCACAUGCUGUGAGCUCGAUGAGUAGGGCGGGACACGUGGUAUCCUGUCUGAAUAUGGGGGGACCAUCCUCCAAGGCUAAAUACUCCUGACUGACCGAUAGUGAACCAGUACCGUGAGGGAAAGGCGAAAAGAACCCCGGCGAGGGGAGUGAAAAAGAACCUGAAACCGUGUACGUACAAGCAGUGGGAGCACGCUUAGGCGUGUGACUGCGUACCUUUUGUAUAAUGGGUCAGCGACUUAUAUUCUGUAGCAAGGUUAACCGAAUAGGGGAGCCGAAGGGAAACCGAGUCUUAACUGGGCGUUAAGUUGCAGGGUAUAGACCCGAAACCCGGUGAUCUAGCCAUGGGCAGGUUGAAGGUUGGGUAACACUAACUGGAGGACCGAACCGACUAAUGUUGAAAAAUUAGCGGAUGACUUGUGGCUGGGGGUGAAAGGCCAAUCAAACCGGGAGAUAGCUGGUUCUCCCCGAAAGCUAUUUAGGUAGCGCCUCGUGAAUUCAUCUCCGGGGGUAGAGCACUGUUUCGGCAAGGGGGUCAUCCCGACUUACCAACCCGAUGCAAACUGCGAAUACCGGAGAAUGUUAUCACGGGAGACACACGGCGGGUGCUAACGUCCGUCGUGAAGAGGGAAACAACCCAGACCGCCAGCUAAGGUCCCAAAGUCAUGGUUAAGUGGGAAACGAUGUGGGAAGGCCCAGACAGCCGGGAUGUUGGCUUAGAAGCAGCCAUCAUUUAAAGAAAGCGUAAUAGCUCACUGGUCGAGUCGGCCUGCGCGGAAGAUGUAACGGGGCUAAACCAUGCACCGAAGCUGCGGCAGCGACACUAUGUGUUGUUGGGUAGGGGAGCGUUCUGUAAGCCUGUGAAGGUGUGCUGUGAGGCAUGCUGGAGGUAUCAGAAGUGCGAAUGCUGACAUAAGUAACGAUAAAGCGGGUGAAAAGCCCGCUCGCCGGAAGACCAAGGGUUCCUGUCCAACGUUAAUCGGGGCAGGGUGAGUCGACCCCUAAGGCGAGGCCGAAAGGCGUAGUCGAUGGGAAACAGGUUAAUAUUCCUGUACUUGGUGUUACUGCGAAGGGGGGACGGAGAAGGCUAUGUUGGCCGGGCGACGGUUGUCCCGGUUUAAGCGUGUAGGCUGGUUUUCCGGGCAAAUCCGGAAAAUCAAGGCUGAGGCGUGAUGACGAGGCACUACGGUGCUGAAGCAACAAAUGCCCUGCUUCCGGGAAAAGCCUCUAAGCAUCAGGUAACAUCAAAUCGUACCCCAAACCGACACAGGUGGUCAGGUAGAGAAUACCAAGGCGCUUGAGAGAACUCGGGUGAAGGAACUAGGCAAAAUGGUGCCGUAACUUCGGGAGAAGGCACGCUGAUAUGUAGGUGAGGUCCCUCGCGGAUGGAGCUGAAAUCAGUCGAAGAUACCAGCUGGCUGCAACUGUUUAUUAAAAACACAGCACUGUGCAAACACGAAAGUGGACGUAUACGGUGUGACGCCUGCCCGGUGCCGGAAGGUUAAUUGAUGGGGUCAGCGCAAGCGAAGCUCUUGAUCGAAGCCCCGGUAAACGGCGGCCGUAACUAUAACGGUCCUAAGGUAGCGAAAUUCCUUGUCGGGUAAGUUCCGACCUGCACGAAUGGCGUAAUGAUGGCCGGGCUGUCUCCACCCGAGACUCAGUGAAAUUGAACUCGCUGUGAAGAUGCAGUGUACCCGCGGCAAGACGGAAAGACCCCGUGAACCUUUACUAUAGCUUGACACUGAACAUUGAGCCUUGAUGUGUAGGAUAGGUGGGAGGCUUGGAAGUGUGGACGCCAGUCUGCAUGGAGCCGACCUUGAAAUACCACCCUUUAAUGUUUGAUGUUCUAACGUUGACCCGUAAUCCGGGUUGCGGACAGUGUCUGGUGGGUAGUUUGACUGGGGCGGUCUCCUCCUAAAGAGUAACGGAGGAGCACGAAGGUUGGCUAAUCCUGGUCGGACAUCAGGAGGUUAGUGCAAUGGCAUAAGCCAGCUUGACUGCGAGCGUGACGGCGCGAGCAGGUGCGAAAGCAGGUCAUAGUGAUCCGGUGGUUCUGAAUGGAAGGGCCAUCGCUCAACGGAUAAAAGGUACUCCGGGGAUAACAGGCUGAUACCGCCCAAGAGUUCAUAUCGACGGCGGUGUUUGGCACCUCGAUGUCGGCUCAUCACAUCCUGGGGCUGAAGUAGGUCCCAAGGGUAUGGCUGUUCGCCAUUUAAAGUGGUACGCGAGCUGGGUUUAGAACGUCGUGAGACAGUUCGGUCCCUAUCUGCCGUGGGCGCUGGAGAACUGAGGGGGCUGCUCCUAGUACGAGAGGACCGGAGUGGACGCAUCACUGGUGUUCGGGUUGUCAUGCCAAUGGCACUGCCCGGUAGCUAAAUGCGGAAGAGAUAAGUGCUGAAAGCAUCUAAGCACGAAACUUGCCCCGAGAUGAGUUCUCCCUGACCCUUUAAGGGUCCUGAAGGAACGUUGAAGACGACGACGUUGAUAGGCCGGGUGUGUAAGCGCAGCGAUGCGUUGAGCUAACCGGUACUAAUGAACCGUGAGGCUUAACCUU